rnacentral:rRNA from 1 species
UACGUAGGGACCAAGCGUUGUCCGGAAUCAUUGGGCGUAAAGAGCGUGUAGGCGGCUUGUUAAGUCUUGCGUGAAAUCUCGGGGCUCAACCCCGAGCGGUCGUGAGAAACUGGCAGGCUAGAGUGCGGGAGAGGAGAGUGGAAUUCCUGGUGUAGCGGUGAAAUGCGCAGAUAUCGGGAGGAACACCAAUGGCGAAGGCAGCUCGCUGGGACGGUACUGACGCUGAGGCGCGAAAGCGUGGGGAGCAAACAGG